ensembl:snRNA U6 U6 spliceosomal RNA
GUGCUCGCUUCAGCAGCACAUACAGUAAAAUUGGAACGAUACAGAGAAGAUUAGCAUGGCCCCUGUGCAAGGAUGACACGCAAAUUCAUGAAGCAUUCCAUAUUUUU